CCAGCCUGAGCCCCUCCUCGUAGGCUUUCUUUAGGGGUUACUAGUACUUCCCAUUGCUGUCCUUCUGUCUUCCAUGUGUACAAUGGGACACAGUGGCAUCCAUAAGCUCAUGCCACUACACUGUCCUGGGAAGCCUGGUUUCAGGGAGACUCUCAUUUUUAAGAAGAAAGAAGACUGGGAUAACUUAAGGAAAUCGUCCCUGGCACUCUUCACAGAGAAUAAACCUUGCUUAGUCCUA
rnacentral:lncRNA from 1 species